rnacentral:rRNA from 1 species
GAUGAACGCUGGCGGUCUGCUUAACACAUGCAUGUCGAACGAACUCUUCGGAGUGAGUGGCGGACGGGUGAGUAACGCGUGAGAAUCUGGCUGUGGGUCGGGGACAACCACUGGAAACGGUGGCUAAUACCGGAUGAGCCGAAAGGUAAAAGAUUUAUUGCCCACAGAUGGAGCUCGCGUCUGAUUAGCUAGUUAGGUAAAGGUAAAAGCCGUAACCGAAGGCGAACGAUCAAGUAGCUGGUCUGAGAGGAUGAGCAGCCACA